rnacentral:lncRNA from 1 species
AGAAUGCAGACGGACGAUAAGGUCGCGAUAAUUAAACCAAUACAACCACCACUGAUAACUGAGGCUGGAUAUCGAGAGAGGAUGACUUCCCAAGAGAGACAGGUUUCGUGGAUAACGAUCUCCCCAACUCGGUCUCUUUCCAUUUUGGGCGUUGAAGUGCGAAGAUCGAUCCUAUAGGACGAUCAGUUUGUAGAUAUUACAAGUGUUCGAAAACUACAGUGUAGACUUGUGAAACGAUUCUAAAUCGAGUUUGAACGAAUCGUACGCUUCAGGACCUUUAAGUGUCGAAUAGGUGGAAUUUCGGACCGAUAGCCGGAGUUUCCCGCAAGCACCGAUUCCGUGGCAUCGCGGUGUCACGAGGUCGCACUUCCGGGUUCCUAGCUAAUCGAGGGCCCAAGCUUCUCACCGUGCGCGGUGAUCAACGCUAAGGAAGCUACACUCGGAUCGUUGUAUCCUAACUCGCCAAGGAGUGUUCCCUUCUGCCGGAAGUACCUUGGGUACGGCCGGUUCGACAAUCAGAAGAAGACGCCCAGGGUGUGUUUGCCACAUCCGAACCGCUUGCUGAAAGCCGCCAUCUUGAGUACCUAUAUUGGGGCAUCCCGGCCUGGACGGCUCAGCCGACGCUGCUGGACAGCGGCGCGCGUUCCUGUACAAGUUAGAUUACAACCCUGCAACCCACUCGGCCGCGCGGCGUCGCGGUCGUGUGUUCUCCAGCUUCACAAGACGGUGAAGAACCCCACUUGGAUACUCCUCGUGUCCUGCAUGCACCAGCCACCACAAUCUUUCAUCAACCGCGCGGACGCAGUGUUCCUGUGCCACGUGUCGUCAAGCUGCACGUGCGCGAGAAUCGAGAUCUCGAGUCGGUGUUUACCGGCUUAAGGAGAAUGCAGACGGACGAUAAGGUCGCGAUAAUUAAACCAAUACAACCACCACUGAUAACUGAGGCUGGAUAUCGAGAGAGGAUGACUUCCCAAGAGAGACAGGUUUCGUGGAUAACGAUCUCCCCAACUCGGUCUCUUUCCAUUUUGGGCGUUGAAGUGCGAAGAUCGAUCCUAUAGGACGAUCAGUUUGUAGAUAUUACAAGUGUUCGAAAACUACAGUGUAGACUUGUGAAACGAUUCUAAAUCGAGUUUGAACGAAUCGUACGCUUCAGGACCUUUAAGUGUCGAAUAGGUGGAAUUUCGGACCGAUAGCCGGAGUUUCCCGCAAGCACCGAUUCCGUGGCAUCGCGGUGUCACGAGGUCGCACUUCCGGGUUCCUAGCUAAUCGAGGGCCCAAGCUUCUCACCGUGCGCGGUGAUCAACGCUAAGGAAGCUACACUCGGAUCGUUGUAUCCUAACUCGCCAAGGAGUGUUCCCUUCUGCCGGAAGUACCUUGGGUACGGCCGGUUCGACAAUCAGAAGAAGACGCCCAGGGUGUGUUUGCCACAUCCGAACCGCUUGCUGAAAGCCGCCAUCUUGAGUACCUAUAUUGGGGCAUCCCGGCCUGGACGGCUCAGCCGACGCUGCUGGACAGCGGCGCGCGUUCCUGUACAAGUUAGAUUACAACCCUGCAACCCACUCGGCCGCGCGGCGUCGCGGUCGUGUGUUCUCCAGCUUCACAAGACGGUGAAGAACCCCACUUGGAUACUCCUCGUGUCCUGCAUGCACCAGCCACCACAAUCUUUCAUCAACCGCGCGGACGCAGUGUUCCUGUGCCACGUGUCGUCAAGCUGCACGUGCGCGAGAAUCGAGAUCUCGAGUCGGUGUUUACCGGGUAAGACAGUUGUGAAGACGAGUAAGUUCUGAUUCCCCAAAGUUGAUUUUUAAGUAGUUGUGGGUCAAAUAAACCUGUGUCGAUAAUGA